ACUCUGCUAAAAAGUAAAUAAUACUGAAUUAGUCACUCAUUAGCCAAACUACAUCAGAGGCAAAUUAGCCCAGGAAUUCCAUCCUCUAACCUGUUCCUCAGAAGAAAAAGACAUCUAGGGGUGGGGCAGGGGAGUAGACAGGGUCAGAGAAGAGAAGGCUGGGAAUGGAAAGUCAGGAGAAGACCAGCAGCAUCUGUCAACCUAUUGGAGUUGGAGGUCCAACACUUUGCAUCCACCCUGCCUGUCUCUUGGCGAAGAUCCCACCAGGUUAAGGAGGUCUUAGUGGCAGCAUCAAGAGCCACACCCAGUGGGUGGCCUGGAGGUCACAUAAAGGGUCCAAAUGCAAAUGAACUAAUCAUGUGUGCCUUUCAUUUAGAAAUUAAACACCAUUAGAAAACUGGACAUGAAAACAACAUCCACUGAUGUUGUCAGAUGGUUAAGGAGCAGGAUUCUACAAUAGAGGAUGAUCCUGAAGCUGAUCCAACAGGAGGAAAAUCCAUCAGAAUCUCAGACUACAGCACUAAAUAUGCUUUGAUGCUACAUCAAAAGGAAUGGAAGCAUAACUGACUUCACUAAAGCUACUUCAUCUCCAUCUAGCAAAUGAGGCACUUUUCUCAACCAAAGGAGAUGGGGAUCUGGUUUAGGGCAAUCCCUUUAUAAUUUGAUGUGCUGUGGUCUCCUCGAUAAUGUAUAAUUUGGUAUUGCACAGAGGUAAUUAAUCAAGGAAGUCUGGAAAAGCUUUGGUCCCACAGCCGUGCCUCAGAGCAUGUAAAUAAUUAAAACAAUAUUGAUGCUGAGGUUCUUCCACUGCUAGUAUGAAAGUGACAGAUUUUUACUGGUGUGAAUUGGGAAGAAAACAGUGCUAUUCCAUGACAUGUUUGCAAAAUUUUUGUUUGUUUAGAGAAGCUCAAACACAACAAUUCCAUAAAAUAAACCAGAGGUUAAAUAAAGGGUAGUAAAUUACGGCAUGUAUAAG